GCACUGCUGAUGAGUCCCACACUAGGACGAAACGGCUGUCCAGUGC
rnacentral:hammerhead_ribozyme from 1 species